rnacentral:rRNA from 1 species
ACGCUCGACACCUAUGGGAGGCAGCAGUGGGGAAUAUUGCACAAUGGGGGAAACCCUGAUGCAGCAACGCCGCGUGAAGGAAGACGGUUUUCGGAUUGUAAACUUCUGUUCUUAGUGAAGAUAGUGACGGUAGCUAAGGAGCAAGCCACGGCUAACUACGUGCCAGCAGCCGCGGUAAUCUGAGCGGGCUGGCAAGGC